rnacentral:rRNA from 1 species
GACGAACGCUGGCGGCGUGCUUAACACAUGCAAGUCGAACGGAAAGGCCCUGCUUUUGUGGGGUGCUCGAGUGGCGACCGGGUGAGUAACACGUGAGUAACCUGCCCUUGACUUUGGGAUAACUUCAGGAAAUUGGGGCUAAUACCGGAUAGGUGCUCCUGCUGCAAGGUGGGGGUUGGAAAGUUUCGGCGGUUGGGGAUGGACGCGCGGCUUAUCAGCUUGUUGGUGGGGUAGUGGCUUACCAAGGCUUUGACGGGUAGCCGGCCUGAGAGGGUGACCGGCCACAUUGGGACUGAGAUACGGCCCAGACUCCUACGGGAGGCAGCAGUGGGGAAUAUUGCACAAUGGGCGGAAGCCUGAUGCAGCAACGCCGCGUGCGGGAUGACGGCCUUCGGGUUGUAAACCGCUUUCGCCUGUGACGAAGCGUGAGUGACGGUAAUGGGUAAAGAAGCACCGGCUAACUACGUG